UACGGAGGGUGCGAGCGUUGUUCGGAAUCACUGGGCGUAAAGGGCGUGUAGGCGGUCCGCUAAGUCUGAUGUGAAAGCCCGGGGCUCACCCCCGGAAGGGCAUUGGAAACUGGCGGACUCGAGUCUCGGAGAGGAAGGUGGAAUUCCUGGUGUAGCGGUGAAAUGCGUAGAUAUCAGGAGGAAUACCGGUGGCGAAGGCGGGUCUCUGGGCCGAUACUGACGCUGAGGAGCGAAAGCGUGGGGAGCAAACAGG
rnacentral:rRNA from 1 species